rnacentral:lncRNA from 1 species
CAGCUUAAAAUAGAGGGCAAGGGCUAAAAUAUAACUUUUGUGGCUGAUAAUUGUCAGACUACCCACAUUUGUUUUCCACAGUUUCACAGGGAUGACUUCCUAGGGAUUAGUUAAGGAUAUCUGAUUAUUUUACUUUUUUUUCCUUCUAGAAUUUCACGAACCUACAGGAUGGGUGUCAUGAGUGAAAGCCAAGUUGCUGUUAACUAUAUCUUAAGCAUCAUCUUACUGGGAACAUGUUUAACCUGCCAAAAGCUCUUCUGAACUCUGACUGCAAACCAUUCCAAAGUCCGAAUUUCUCAUGCAAACGCCGUAUGACCUCAGGAUGAAUUUUAUGCCAAUGAAAUGCUCACCAUGCCAUGCCAUGUCAUUUGUUCCAUGGAAUCACAAGUGUUCCUCAGCCCAGCAGUGCUCCAUGCACCUAGAAACUUCCCUCUCUGAGUGA